AAAAUUUCCAAAAUUCAAUCAAAAGCUCCCAAAAUUCCCAAAAUCAAAAAUUUCCCAAAAUCUGCUCGAUGCCUCUGCAACUCUGCUCGUCAGUCCCCACUCCAGUCCGGUAGUCAUCGCCACUCGCCUGUCAUCUUCUUCAGCCUUCAGGUUAGUGGCCACUUGCUAGUACGACUUCUGCCGACUACAGCUCUUCUUCAACUCUUCUGCUCAUGACUGCUGGAGAAUGGUUCGAUUUGGAGAGCGAAGUCGUUUGCUGCUUCUGGAAUGGUGGAACCCAAGUUGGUGAAGUGGUUUUCAACACUUCAUUAACCGAGUAAAAAUUAAGAAUUUACUAUGAAUUUAUUUCCAUUGUUUUUGUGAUUUGUGAAUAAUGUUGGCUGAUAAAGAAUUUUUAUCCUCCACUUGCAAGUGGGUUUGUUAGAAAUGUGUGGAAUCCAUUUAUGUUCCAACAGAUUCAUUUAUCAUUUCUAGUCCACAGAUUGAAAUUGGAAAGAAGGUGGGAUCAAGCUCAUGGUCUCAAGGUGAUUGAUAGAAGUCCCGAGAGACUUCUUGCAUUUGAUUCUUCCGUUUUUUGUGUAAUGGUCAGGUUAUCUUGGGUGUGUAAUUGAUAUCUGAAUGGAUCACUUUGUGCAGAAUGGCUCAAUAAGGCUAUUAUGGGUGCAGGUGUCUUAACUAUAAUGGGCACGAAAAUUUUUAGUGUUUUUGAUUUUGAUUCCUCGAUCUACUUUUAUACUUCAUUACUUCAUUUCUUGAGAUUUCUGGAUUAUGGUUUCUAGCCUCAGUGGGUUAACAUGUUUACCACAUUGGAAAUCUUAUUUAAGAAGCCAAUUUUGUGUUUAUGGAAGCCGUUAGGCCCGUUACUUAUAUUUGUGUUCCUGUUGGCAUCUAUCUACUAUUGCAAUGGAGUUGAAAUUUACUGAAAUCUGCGGAAGUCUUUUGGCUGGGAAUAGUGAAGAAAGUUCACCAAUUGAAAACUAUGCAUUUUAAUAAUAUGUAUGUCAGAAGGUGGUUUUGUUGAAAGGCUUGAAAGUGGAGUAAAUUUCGUCUUCAUGAAUAAAAUUAAUUCAAUUACUCUCCCAUUGUAAACUAUUUCUACCUAGUGAUAAAACCCAUGGGCGAAGCCGCGAAAUCACUAAAGCGUAAAGGCAGACAUAAAGUUUUCCUUCAAGUGUAUAAAAUUUAAAAUAUCUUUAAAAGAUAUGUUUAGGGGGCACAAAUUAAAAUUGGCUUUGUUCAGUAAACUAAAAAUAAGAAAAAUAAGGAAAACUCAAAACCAGCUGUUAUUUAUUUCCCCCAAUUUCCUUUUACUCUUUAACGUAUAUUGCAUGAACAUUAUUUAUUAUCUUUAAAUGUAAUAUGCUGCAUGGUAGAGUUUAUAUAUGUAAAUAGAGAGUUUGUCCCCAACUUUUGAAAUAGAACAUUUUGGCCAUCAAUAUUCCAUUAAUAUUGCAAAAUUAUUUUUAGUUGAUAGAAACGGUGCUUAACCCGAAAUGGCUCUGCCACCAUAUUUCAUUAAACAAAUUAACUUUUUAGCACGUUUGUAAGGAUUGUAAUUUUGAAUGUGAUGGUUAUAAGAGUCUUAUGUAUUCAAAAGUCAAAUAUUAACAAAUUAUCGAGAACAACUAACUAAAAUCGAACAAUAAAAUCAAGGUUUGCUGCUCUUAAAUAUUCUUAAUUCCUUCACCACUAGAUCUUAGGCUUGGCAAUCUUAGACAUCAUAUAUAAUUUUAUAUAAAUUUUUGUUUCAGGCUUGUGAGUUGUGACGAGAUCAUACUCAACAGUGUAAUUCCACAAUUAUCGUCAAAAUUUCACUUCUCAGGUAAGCCAUGACUUGCCCUAACUUGUUAUUAAAGAGAUUGAAAAUGUUUGAAGCCUUGUCGACUUAUAUAAUUGCAGCCUGGUCGGCUUAUAUGAUUGGUUAUUGUGAGAUGAACAAUUGCACAGGUGCACAUAGUAAUUGUAUUGGAAAUUGUAAUUGUGUGAUGAUUGAGAUAUUUUGUAAUUGUUUUUUAGGUUAAUCAUUGGACAUUAGAUACAGACUCAUACACUAUGCCUCCUAAAUAUGAGUCUGGUGCUCAAAAGAGGAAAAGGAACCGAAAUGAAAUUGCAUUGAUUCAAAGUCAAGUAGGGGAUAUUAACAAGUACUUCAAAAGCAACAAUGUGAAUGCGUUGAAUGAUAAUGAAGUAGAGAUUCAACCUGCCCAUGUUAAUGAAGUAGAUAGUACGGAUGAAGAAGUGAGACAACCUGACUAUGUUAAUGAAGUAGAUGAUAAAGAAGAAGAAGUGGUGAAACCCGCCUCUAAUAAUGAAGAAGAUGAUAAGGAAGAAGAGGGUUCCUUUUCUCUAAAUUUGGAUGAUCCCGGGAAUUGGAAAAUCAUUGAUCAGACAACAAGGGAUUACUUAGUUGAAAGGGGUCCAAAAAGAGUUGAUAACAUUUCAUUUCCAAAAGAUUGAACAAAUAGACAUUUCGAUUCUUCACAAUAUAAGCGACUGCUACGAAAUGGGCAAACAAUUGAUAGAAGAUGGCUAGUAUAUUCAAUAUCUAUGGACAGGAUCUUCUGCUUUUGUUGCAAGUUAUUUAAAACACCUAAAAAUGUGACCAAAGUUAGCCAACUAGGUAAUGAUGGAUUCAAAGAUUGGCAUAAUUUGCAUCGGUCUAUGAAAAGUCAUGAAGGAAAUGAAGACCAUUUAUGUUGCAUGAUUGGCUGGAUUGAAUUGGAAAAUAGGCUUCGAACAAAAAUUACAAUUGAUAAAAGCGUUGAAUUGUUGAUCGAUGCAGAAAGAGAACAUUGGAGGCAUGUAUUAACAAGGAUAAUCGCUAUUGUUAAAAGACUUGCCAAAAAUACCUUGCCAUUUCGAGAAGAUAGUGAGAGGCUAAAUGUUGAGAAUAAUGGCCUAUUUUUACAAAUGGUGGAAAUGGUUAGUGAGUUUGAUCCAGUAAUGAAAGAGUACCUUCGGCAGGCUAAUGCGAGAGAGAUUCAAUACACGUAUCUUGGCAAAAAAAUCCAAAAUGAGUUGAUACAACUGUUGGCUAAUGAGGUGAGAAAUACAAUUGUUAAGAAAGUUAACAUGCAAAAUAUUUCACAGUUAUACUUGAUUGAACUCCAGAUGCAAGUCGUGAGGAGCAGAUGUCUUUAAUAGUACGAUUUGUAGAUGAUUCAGCAAACUUACCUACAGUUGAGGAACAUUAGCUUGAAUUUUUGAAGGUAGAUGACACAACAGGACUUGGACUUACAACUGAGCUUCAAAAGGCUUUGAUCAAAUUUGAUCUGGAUAUUGAUGACAUUAGAGGGCAAGGGUAUGAUAAUGGAUCUAACAUGAGCGGGAAGCACAAAGGUGUACAAAAAAGAGUACAUGAAAUAAAUCCCCGAGCUUUCUAUACUCCAUGUAGUGCUCAUAGUCUAAAUCUAGCAUUAUGUGAUAUGGUGAAUUGUUGUUCCAAAGCUGUAUCCUUCUUCGGAGUGAUACAACACAUCUACACUUUAUUUUCCUCUUUUACCAAGUGAUGAAAAAUUUUCAAAGAUAAUGUAAAAAGGGUUGACAGUGAAGCCAUUGUUACAAACACGUUGGGAAAGUCAUGUUGAGAGUGUAAAACCUAUAAUGGAGCAAACUGCACAAAUAAGAGAAGCCUUACUUGAUUUGGCAGAAUCUAACGAAGAUCCUAAAGUGAAGAGUGAAGCCGAGUCGUUAGCAACACAUGAACUUCAGAAUUUUGAGUUUUUGCUUGGCAUAGUAAUCUGGUACAGGUUGUUGCAUGCAGUCAAUAUUGUGAGUAAAUUUCUUCAAACUGAAUCCAUGGAUAUUGAUCGUGCUAUCGAUCUAUUGUAAGGACUUGUUUUAUUUUUUGAAGAUUAUAGAGAAAUCGAAUUUGCUGUUGCUAUGGAUGAAGCAACAAAAAAGGCAAACAAAAUGGGAAUUGAAGCUGUAUUUACAGAAAAAAGCAUAAUUCGAAGGAAAAAACAAUUUGAUGAAAGUGGUAAUGAUGAGGUAAAACAAUCAGCAAAAGAAUCUUUUAGAGUUGAGUACUUUGUUUUUAUAAUUGAUCAAGCUCUAUCUUCUCUGAGAGGUCGAUUUGAACAAUUCAAACAAUAUGAUGACAUAUUUGGAUUUUUGUUUAAUUUGAAAAAGUUAAGGGAUGCAACUUUAUCAAGUUUGUUGAACUCUUGUAUGAAUCUUGAGAAAUAUCUUGAAGAUGAUGGGCAUUCGGACAUCAGUGGAGAUGAUUUAUGUUUGGAAUUACAAGUCUUGAAGAUUUAUUUACCAAAUGAACCAACAAGAGCAAUUGAACUGCUGCAAUAUUUGAAGACUCACAAUAUUUGUUACCCAAAUGCUUAUAUUGCUUACAAAAUUUUGUUAACCAUACUGGUUACAAUUGCACCUGCGGCAAGAAGUUUCUCAAAAUUAAAGUUGAUCAAGACCCAUCUUCGAUCAACUAUGUCACAAGAAAGGUUAAACGGGUUGACUAUGUUAUCAAUAGAAAAAGAAAUGGUUGGACAGCUAAAUUAUUCAGAUUUGAUUGAUGUUUUUGUCUCUAAAACGGCAAGACGAAUAGUAAUCACAGGAUCGGCUCUGCCGGCCACACUAUGUGAAUCGUCGACACCACCAUAACGAAGUUACUCAAUCGAGCCCCCCAAAAGUUACAUUAUCAUUACACUUCACUGUUGUUCGUGUUGUAAAUUUCAAUAGAGGAUUUUAUUACCCCCCAUCAUCAUACCCUUUUUUGAUUCAUUCAUUUGAUCAACUUUACUCUCUCUGCUUUAUUUUUUAUUUUAUUUUUUUAAACACAUUUCGUUUGAUAGCUUAUGACUGAUUUGCUGGAUUGAUGAUAUGAAUUAUUUAGUACAUGUGGAAGUGUAUUAUUGAGUGAGCAUAAAUCUAUUGGUUAUUAAGGUUUCUGGGGUUGAUGCUGGGAUUCCGGCUAUGUCCUUUUAGCAUUUAAUAAUUUAACAUUAUUUUAAUUAUAAUAUUUUUUUUUAAUUAACAUUAUUUUAAAUAAAAUUUGCUCAUUAAAACUCAAAAGUAACAAAUUUGGUAGAACUAGUUGUGAUUUUUAUUAUAUGUAACUUUUUUUGUGCGUUCAUUAUAUAUAUAUUUUUAAUUGUGGUAUUCGGUUUAAUAUUUUUUAAAUUUAUCUAUAAAUGCAAUAUUUUAGUUCAUUAAAUAUAGUAUUUAAUUUAAUAAUUUUUGUAAUAAUAUAAUUUUUAAUUAAAUAAUUUCUUAAAUAAAUUAAUUAUUGAGAAAUAAAUGAUAAGGAAAUAAAGAUAUAACCAUUUAGAAGUAUUUAUUUGGUAUAAAAUUUGAUGUAACCAUUUAGAAGUCACCUCAAAUUGCUGAAAAAGGUACACCAAUUUGUUGUAAAAGUUACUCCAAAUCGGUGUGAACCAUUGAAGAUUCCCUAAGGUUAUUGAUCUGAGCUCUUUGAAGGUUGCUUUGGAGUCUCUUGUGAAGGAUUUGAAGAAAACUUUUGAAGAUUCUUAAAUGCUUAUUUGGUUAAGCUUUUAACUAGCUUACAACAAUUUUUAACUAGCUUAUAAGCACUUAAAGCUUUGUCAAACAUACAUUUAAGUCCGUUUUUGUUUUAGGGUUGGUUUGAUAUUGCUAUGAUUUUAGAAGCAUCAAUUUUAGCAAUGCUGAAGAAAGAAUUCGUUGUAGGAAAAUUAGUCAAGUGUUUGGUGAACUUUUGUUUUAAUAAUAUUGUAUCUUUUAGAAUAAGCAUUUAUAGUGUUUGGUAAAUAAAAGUGAUUUAUUUUUGUGUCCAUAUACAAUUAGUAAAAUAGACAUUGAUUAUAACGAUGUCCAUUUUAUUAUUGUAAUUGGUAUAUUGAAAAAUUUAUUUUUACUUUUAUAAAACUAUGUAAUGUUAUUUCAUAUUUUUUAAGACAAUAAAUCCACUAUAGUUAAUUUAAAAUUAAAAAAAAAUUCAUAUCUAUUUAAUAUUAAAAUUUAUAAAAUUACAAAAUAAAGGUAUAAUCCAUAGAGUAUUAAAAUAUUCGAAUAAAUUUAAAUAAUGGAAGGAUGUGUUAUUUUUGAAAUAUCAGGUUUUAAUAAAGGUAGGAAAGAAAAUGAAUUAGUUCAAUUAAUUAGGAUUUAAAUGGUAUUAUAAUUAUGAACAAUUGGAGAAGCAAAAAAGCAGAAUCUGAUAAGUGAUUGUUUUGUUGCUUCUUAAAAUUUGCUGCAGAGUGCAAAUUCUUUACUAAUCAAUUUUAUCUACAAUUUAAAAUCUAGGUCUGCCUUGCAUCAAUCAACAAAAUUAUGUAAUUGAAGAAUUUAAUUGAUACUUAUUGUUGAUGUUGAUUUCCUAAUACACAUACUUUAAAUUUAACCAUAUUUUUUUGGUUUCAUCAUUGUCCAUGUCUCCCAGAGAGAUUGGUGUUGGGAAUCUACUUAAAAUGCGCAACGAAAAUUAAAAUAAUUUUCGAUUUUCAUCAGGAUUCAUCUUUGUGUUUAGAUAGAAAUUAUGAUAAAAGUCAUACAUUUUUCUAGAUUUGCAAACCCCUUUACUUUUUCUUUGUACCAAUGAUCUUGAUUCGCCACCCACAGUUGUCCAAUUGUCCAGCCUCCAACGAUGAUCCACACAGAGAAUAGAUUGCAGUUACCAAGGUUUUCUCCUAUUAUGCUAGCAAGAAAUUAUGAGAAAACUAUAUGGAUUGAAAACCCUAAUCAUGAAUUUAUAUAAGGGCAAAUUAGGCCAUUACGACCUAGAUAAUAUAAAAUUGUUUAAUGCGCUCAACCCUUUUAACUUUUUCUACAUAUGUAUUAAUUACGAUAAAAUAAAGAAAGAUAUUCAGAACCUUCUUUCUUUCAAGCUUUGCUCUCACUAUUCCAAUUUCUCAUUUCUCAUAGCCUUCCCCUUCCUCGAACUGCCCUUCGCAGUUUAGGCCCAAUCUUGUUGCCAUAUUGUUGCCCCUCUCCGUUCUCUCCUACUUGGAUCAGUCGGAGAUUGCCAAGCUCGCACGGAUCAACCAUGCUUUGUGAGCAACCGCCUCCAGGAAUUUCAGUCCUUCUAACAAUAGGUCCAAUGAUUGCUCCUGUCUUUGUUUUCUGCAUCUUUGUUGCAAGAAAAUUGAUGGAUGAUGUAAGGAUGAUUUUAAUGGCAAUUGGGGAAUCGAAAUUAUGGCUCUAGUAGUUGUUUCAUGCUAUUUGUAAGUCCUGCAAUUUUCAUUUUCAUGAAUUUUAUGUUUGUUUCUCAUUGUUCUACUAUUUCAACCUAUGAAUUCUCACAAUUGUUGUCUCCAAAAUUUGUAGCAGUAUAAUAUCUUAGUUAUUUAUUUUUUUUUUUUUAUGAACAAUUUUAAAGCCCUGUAGAACUCUGCGAUGUUUGACUUGCUACUUCAAGAUGAACAAAUGAUUUACUAUUUGUCAUCCGAUUUCUAUUUUCUCUCUCUUUUAUUAACACAUUGACAUUUCUAACCAAAGCAAAUUAAGUUACUUGUUGAUUUUCUUCAAGUUGAAUAUUACAUGGGUAUAGUAUUUUGCUUAUACUUAUUUAUGGUGACAUAGUUUUGAAAUGUUAAUCUGAUUGUUUAGCAUACACGAGUGGCUAUAUACUAUUUGAAUUCUUUUCACUGCAUAAAUCUCUUUACUUUCGUUGGUUUUUUGUUUGAAUCCACUCCCCAUAUAUCAUUCUUCCUCGUUCCCAUGAUAAUUUUUGACAACUUAUUGCAAAUUCGUUCUUGCUGAUAUGACGUUGAUUCUUUAAAACCUUUCGAAGAAUGUUAUAAUGCAAUAACUCUAAUAUGCUUCAUCUCUUUCUUCAACUAAUUUUUAAUUUAUUGCACAACUUAAGUAUAGCUGUCUAUUCAUUAUUUUAGGUCUUUGCUAGAUGGCAUAGAGUGCUUAAGCUGUUGUUUUGUGCCAAGCAAUAUAGCACAAGAAUAGAAGUUUGGGCAGGAAAAACACUAGUGAGGAAGUCGAAGAGAUAGACAAUCGGAGGUGUUGGUGGAAACAUCUGGCAACGACGACUGCAACUAUUGGUGUAGGCAUUGACUUCUUCCAGCAAUAGAGAUUGAAAAAAACAAAGCUUAUUCUCCUAUUGGGAUCUUCAAUGAGUGGAGGUCAAUGGGUUAGCUAAGUUGCUAGAUGAUGUGGCGGUGAAUUGAAUUAAAGAUACUUGAGGUUUUGAAUGGUGUUUUGUCGGUAAAUUGACUCAAAACGCUUGGCAAUAAAUGGAGAAAGUAAAGAGACAAU
rnacentral:lncRNA from 1 species